AGAGUUUGAUCAUGGCUCAGAACGAACGCUGGCGGCGUGGAUAAGACAUGCAAGUCGAGCGCUGGUUACAGGGUAGCAAUAUUCUGUAAUUGGAGCGGCGCAAGGGUGCGUAACACGUGGGCAAUCUGCCGUGAAGUUUGGGACAACUUGCUGAAAGGCGAGCUAAUACCAGAUGUGAAAAUUGAAAGGCAUCUUUUGAUUUUCAAAGUUGGGGACCGUAAGGCCUGACGCUUCAUGAUGAGCCCGCGGCCUAUCAGCUAGUUGGUGAGGUAACGGCUCACCAAGGCUAAGACGGGUAGCUGGUCUGAGAGGACGACCAGCCACACUGGAACUGAGACACGGUCCAGACACCUACGGGUGGCAGCAGUCGAGAAUUUUUCACAAUGGGCGAAAGCCUGAUGGAGCGACGCCGCGUGGGGGAUGAAUGGCUUCGGCCCGUAAACCCCUGUCAUUUGCGAUCAAACGUUAUUAUUUAAAAGAUGAUGACCUGAUAGUAGCGAAAGAGGAAGGGACGGCUAACUCUGUGCCAGCAGCCGCGGUAAUACAGAGGUCCCGAGCGUUGUUCGGAUUCACUGGGCGUAAAGGGUGCGUAGGUGGCGAGGUAAGUCGGAUGUGAAAUCUCGGAGCUCAACUCCGAAAUGGCAUUGGAAACUACCUUGCUCGAGGGUUGGAGGGGGGACUGGAAUACUUGGUGUAGCAGUGAAAUGCGUAGAUAUCAAGUGGAACACCAGUGGCGAAAGCGAGUCCCUGGACAACUCCUGACACUGAGGCACGAAAGCUAGGGGAGCAAACAGGAUUAGAUACCCUGGUAGUCCUAGCCGUAAACGGUGCAUGUUUGCUGUAAAAGGAUUCGACCCCUUUUGUGGCGUAGCCAACGCGUUAAACAUGCCGCCUGGAAGUACGGUCGCAGAUUAAAACUCAAAGAAAUUGACGGGGCCUGCACAAGC
rnacentral:rRNA from 1 species